GUGCUUGCUUCAACAGCACCUAUACUGAAAUUACAACAAUACAGAGAAGAUUAGCAUGGCCCCUGCACAAGGAUGACGCACAAGUUCAUGAAGUGUUCCAUAUUUUA